rnacentral:rRNA from 1 species
UAAGACGAGAGGGGCGAGCGUUAUCCGGAAUAAUUGGGCGUAAAGGGUCCGUAGGUUGUAUUUUGUAUGCUUUUAGUAAAAGACAGAAACUUAAUUUCUGAAAUGCUUUAAGAACAGAUAUACUAGAGUUUAGCAGAGGAUAAUAGAAUUCCAUGUGGAGGGGUGGAAUCCUAAGAUAUAUGGAGGAAUGCCAGUAGCGAAAGCGAUUAUCUGGGCUAUUACUGACACUGAGGGACGAAAGCGUAGGUAGCAAACAGGAUUAGAUACCCUGGUAGUCUACGCUGUCAAUGCUGAGUGCUAAUAUUUAGAAUUUUCAAUUUUAGAUAUACAGUUAACACGUUAAGCACUCCGCCUGAGGAGUACGGUCGCAAGACUAAAACUCAAAUGAAUUGACGG